rnacentral:lncRNA from 1 species
UAAUCAAAGAGCUGAAGAGCUCUGAAGGGAAAAGACGGCCAUUGUUCCAAUUUUUAGGGGGGUAUCUUUUGAUAGUCUACAUACAAAGAAUGAGCAAAAGAACAGCUAGAACAUAUAGAAAGGCUGACAAUAAUGAAACUAAUUGUUGUUUAUUGUUAUUUCAUUUACUUAGUCAAGAAUUCAUCAUAGAGACAAUUUGGACCAAUGAGAUCUGCACUUUCUAAAUCAAAACAUUUGAUUUAAGUUGGGAGUUAAUUAUCUAAAAUUCAAUUGAAUUUAACAACUACUACAUUAUAUUUUAAAAUUUUAAUUAUGUACAACUGAACGGCAGGCUAAGACUAUUCUCAAUUUUUUGUGACAAUAUUCUCAAGAAAGUGAGGACUGAAAAAUCUAUUCAGUUUUAAUUUUCCAUUGAUAAAGUUCCCAGUUACAACUCUCAUCACAGGGAUACAUGUACUUAUAAAAUCAAAUAUGAUUGAUAUAAAAGCUGUGUGAAGUUUGUUUCCAGAUCCCACAUUUUGAUAUAU